GAAUUUAUGCUCAGCCCAACUGGGGGAGGAGGGGGAGCCUCUGGCCCUGCGCCUCCGCCCGGAGACCCCGCGGGAACCCUGCGCCGGCUGGAGGCCGUCGGUGGGGCUGCGGGCUGCUCUCACACCCCACCGGCCCGCUGCGGCUGGGGGUGGGCGCGCUGAGCCUCGCGCGGAUUGGCUGCCGCCUCCGCCCCCCGCCCCGGGCGCCGCGCAGCCCCGGGGAAGUUGCUAGUUGGCGCGCGGGCUGCGGGGCCGCGGCUCCCAGAUCCGCAGCGGGUUCGCCGAGACUGCCACAGCUCAGCACUGAGCUCUCGGGGGCGCUCCCCUGUCCUCACCUUGGCAGCUCCGGCUUGCUCCUCCCUACUACCUGUUUCCCUGGCUCUCCCGCCUCCACCCUGAGCUCCACAAC
rnacentral:lncRNA from 1 species